rnacentral:rRNA from 1 species
UACGUAGGGUCCGAGCGUUUGUCCGGAAUUACUGGGCGUAAAGAGCUCGUAGGUGGUUUGAUCGCGUUGUUCGUGAAAACUCAUAGCUUAACUGUGGGCGUGCGGGCGAUACGGGCAGACUUGAGUACUGCAGGGGAGGACUGGAAUUCCUGGUGUAGCGGUGAAAUGCGCAGAUAUCAGGAGGAACACCGGUGGCGAAGGCGGGUCUCUGGGCCGAUACUGACGCUGAGGAGCGAAAGCGUGGGGAGCGAACAGG